UUCGGAUUGUAGUCUGCAACCCGACUACAUGAAGCUGGAAUCGCUAGUAAUCGCGAAUCAGAAUGUCGCGGUGAAUACGUUCCCGGGUCUUGUACACACCGCCCGUCACACCAUGGGAGUCGGAAAUGCCCAAAGUCAGUGACCUAACCGAAAGGGAGGAGCUGCCGAAGGUGGAGCCGGUAACUGGGGUGAAGUCGUAACAAGGUAGC
rnacentral:rRNA from 1 species